rnacentral:rRNA from 1 species
GACGAACGCUGGCGGCGUGCUUAACACAUGCAAGUCGAACGGAAAGGCCCUGCUUUUGUGGGGUGCUCGAGUGGCGAACGGGUGAGUAACACGUGAGUAACCUGCCCUUGACUUUGGGAUAACUUCAGGAAACUGGGGCUAAUACCGGAUAGGAGCUCCUGCUGCAUGGUGGGGGUUGGAAAGUUUCGGCGGUUGGGGAUGGACGGGCGGCUGAUCAGCUUGUUGGUGGGGUAGUGGCUUACCAAGGCUUUGACGGGUAGCCGGCCGGAGAGGGUGACCGGCCACAUGGCGACUAAGAGACGGACCAGACUCCUACGGGAGGCAGCAGUGGGGAAUAUUGCACAAUGGGCGGAAGCCUGAUGCGGCAACGCCGCGUGCGGGAUGACGGCCUUCGGGUUGUAAACCGCUUUCGCCUGUGACGAAGCGGGAGUGACGGUAAUGGGUAAAGAAGCACCGGCUAACUACGUG